UAGAGUUUGAUCCUGGCUCAGAAUGAACGCUGGCGGCGUGCUUAACACAUGCAAGUCGCACGAGAAUUCUUUAGCUUGCUAAAGAUAGUAAAGUGGCGCACGGGUGAGUAACGCGUGGGUAAUUUGCCUCUAAAUCCGGGAUAACCCGUCGAAAGAUGGGCUAAUACCGGAUAAAAUCUUUAUUUCUACGGAAAAUUGAGAUCAAAGGUGGCCUCUACAUGUAAGCUACUGUUGAGAGAUAAGCCCGCGUACCAUUAGCUAGUUGGUAAGGUAAUGGCUUACCAAGGCUUCGAUGGUUAGCUGGUCUGAGAGGAUGAUCAGCCACACUGGAACUGACACACGGUCCAGACUCCUACGGGAGGCAGCAGUGAGGAAUUUUGCGCAAUGGGGGAAACCCUGACGCAGCAACGCCACGUGAGUGAUGAAGGCUUUAGAGUCGUAAAGAUCUGUCAAGUGGGAAGAAAUUGUUUAAUGCUAAUACCAUUGAAUAUUGACGGUACCACUAAAGGAAGCACCGGCUAACUCCGUGCCAGCAGCCGCGGUAAUACGGAGGGUGCAAGCGUUAUUCGGAAUUAUUGGGCGUAAAGAGCGCGUAGGCGGUUUCUUAAGUCAGAUGUGAAAGACCGGGGCUCAACCCCGGAAGUGCAUUUGAAACUAGGGAACUUGAGUAUGGGAGAGGGAAGUGGAA
rnacentral:rRNA from 1 species